rnacentral:rRNA from 1 species
GACGAACGCUGGCGGCGUGCUUAACACAUGCAAGUCGAACGGAAAGGCCCUGCUUGCAGGGUACUCGAGUGGCGAACGGGUGAGUAACACGUGGGUGAUCUGCCCUGCACUUCGGGAUAAGCCUGGGAAACUGGGUCUAAUACCGGAUAGGAGCCAGUUUUAGUGUGAUGGUUGGAAAGUUUUUUCGGUGUAGGAUGAGCUCGCGGCCUAUCAGCUUGUUGGUGGGGUAAUGGCCUACCAAGGCGGCGACGGGUAGCCGGCCUGAGAGGGUGGACGGCCACAUUGGGACUGAGAGACGGCCCAGACUCCUACGGGAGGCAGAAGGGGGGAAUCUUGCACAAUGGGCGCAAGCCUGAUGCAGCGACGCCGCGUGGGGGAUGACGGCCUUCGGGUUGUAAACUCCUUUCGCUAGGGACGAAGCUUUUUGUGACGGUACCUAGAUAAGAAGCACCGGCUAACUACGUG